UAUAAUUUUUGUCUCUUCGUCUUAUUCAAAUUUUUUUAGCGAUUGAUAUUUUUGCUUUUAUUAGAUGAUAAAUCAUGAAUAGUACUUUACGUGUGACUAAUUUUUUUCUAAUUUCCUGAAAAUUUUUCAAAUAAAACGGAUGUUCAAACGCUGGGCACAAAAAUCAA
rnacentral:pre_miRNA from 1 species